GAUGAACGCUGGCGGCGUGCCUAAUACAUGCAGGUCGAGCGAACAGACGAGGAGCUUGCUCCUCUGACGUUAGCGGCGGACGGGGGAGUAACACGUGGCUAACCUACCUAUAAGACUGGGAUAACUUCGGGAAACCGGAGCUAAUACCGGAUAAUAUAUUGAACCGCAUGGUUCAAUAGUGAAAGACGGUUUUGCUGUCACUUAUAGAUGGAUCCGCGCCGCAUUAGCUAGUUGGUAAGGUAACGGCUUACCAAGGCAACGAUGCGUAGCCGACCUGAGAGGGUGAUCGGCCACACUGGAACUGAGACACGGUCCAGACUCCUACGGGAGGCAGCAGUAGGGAAUCUUCCGCAAAGGGCGAAAGCUUGACGGAGCAACGCCGCGUGAGUGAUGAAGGUCUUCGGAUCGUAAAACUCUGUUAUUAGGGAAGAACAAAUGUGUGAGUAACUAUGCACGUCUUGACGGUACCGAAUCAGAAAGCCACGGCUAACUACGUG
rnacentral:rRNA from 1 species